rnacentral:rRNA from 1 species
UACGGGGGGGGCAAGCGUUGUUCGGAAUUACUGGGCGUAAAGGGCUCGUAGGCGGCCAACUAAGUCGGACGUGAAAUCCCUCGGCUUAACCGAGGAACUGCGUCCGAUACUGGAUGGCUUGAGUGUGGGAGAGGGAUGCGGAAUUCCAGGUGUAGCGGUGAAAUGCGUAGAUAUCUGGAGGAACACCGGUGGCGAAGGCGGCAUCCUGGACCACGACUGACGCUGAGUGAGCGAAAGCCAGGGGAGCAAACGGG